GAUGAACGCUGGCGGCGUGCCUAAUACAUGCAAGUCGAGCGAACAGACGAGGAGCUUGCUCCUCUGACGUUAGCGGCGGACGGGUGAGUAACACGUGGAUAACCUACCUAUAAGACUGGGAUAACUUCGGGAAACCGGAGCUAAUACCGGAUAAUAUAUUUAACCGCAUGGUUCAAUAGUGAAAGACGGUUUGGCUGUCACUUAUAGAUGGAUCCGCGCCGCAUUAGCUAGUUGGUAAGGUAACGGCUUACCAAGGCGACGAUGCGUAGCCGACCUGAGAGGGUGAUCGGCCACACUGGAACUGAGACACGGUCCAGACUCCUACGGGAGGCAGCAGUAGGGAAUCUUCCGCAAUGGGCGAAAGCCUGACGGAGCAACGCCGCGUGAGUGAUGAAGGUCUUCGGAUCGUAAAACUCUGUUAUUAGGGAAGAACAAAUGUGUAAGUAACUAUGCACGUCUUGACGGUACCUAAUCAGAAAGCCACGGCUAACUACGUG
rnacentral:rRNA from 1 species